rnacentral:rRNA from 1 species
GAUGAACGCUAGCUACAGGCUUAACACAUGCAAGUCGAGGGGUAACGAGAGGAAAGCUUGCUUUCCUUGUCGACGACCGGCGCACGGGUGAGUAACGCGUAUCCAACCUGCCCCCAACUAGGGAAUAACCUUGCGAAAGUAAGGCUAAUACCCUAUAAUCUCCUCAGAUGACAUCUGACGAGGAAUAAAGAUUUAUCGGUUGUGGAUGGGGAUGCGUCUGAUUAGCUUGUUGGCGGGGUAACGGCCCACCAAGGCAACGAUCAGUAGGGGUUAUGAGAGGAAGGUCCCCCACAUUGGGACUGAGACACGGUCCAAACUCCUACGGGAGGCAGCAGUGAGGAAUAUUGGUCAAUGGGCGGAAGCCUGAACCAGCCAAGUAGCGUGCAGGAUGACGGCCCUAUGGGUUGUAAACUGCUUUUAUACAGGAAUAAAGUUAGCCACGUGUGGUUAUUUGUAGGUACUGUAUGAAUAAGGACCGGCUAAUUCCGUGCCAGCAGCCGCCGCCG